GUAUACAGAAACACAAGGCCCCUUUUCAGGACCCUGGAGAUGGUGUUCAAAGUUUAAGAACCACUUUAAGGGCAGAAUUUUCCUUGUGAAGCCCAGUAUGGAAAUGACACAGCCUUAGCUUCUCCAGUCUAAGGUGUGUCUUAAUCCUAAGCAGAAUCCCCUCAUCCCCCCAUCCCCGUCAAGACCAGUGGUGUGAACUGGAUCCAAAGAGGGUGCCAGGGAUGGGGUCACAGCUGCCAAAGACCCAAUACGGCCCUGACCAGACAUCGGUGGGAGAAGGAACACCUGUGUACCCCAGCACCUCCAUUGUCCUGGAGGCCAGGAGCCACACCCACUAUGGUUCAAGUGAGCCAUGGAAAGGAAGGGCAGUGUCUUGGAAAACUCCUGUGGAUAUGCACGUCCUGAUGCUCUCACCACAGCAACAUGCUCUUAAAACCCAGACGUCUGGGCUUUUCUUGACCCCAGGGCCAAGGACUCUCCAUUAAGCAGCAGUGAAGAAAACUGCAGUUUGAAUUCCCAGAGGUGGCCAGGAGGCUCUGGGACAGGAACGGUGGUUACAGCCUGGUACCAGCUUGGUCACUUACUCGAAGGAGAGCACAGUAGAGGUGCAGAGGCCGUGUGCAUGGGCAGACGCUGUUGAAGGUCCUGACACCUGGCUCAGCUCAUCUGACUCACCAGCAACUGCAAUCUACAACGUCUUCCCAGCAUCAUCCAUCUCAAGGACCUGGACCUUUCUGCUGCUCCAAGGGAUGUGGAGAGCUCAGGGCUUGUGUUCCAGGGCCCCACCCACUGAAAGGAAGAGGCUUUGCCUCCCUCUGGUGAGAAACUCAACCCCAAGGCUGUCUCCAGGUAUUCUCCAGUCUAUACACCUGACCUGAAGAAGUCCACAGUGAGACACACCCAUGAAGCCUCGGUGCUGGCUAUUCUCCCUUUUCUCCCUGGCCACAUUUCUGUACUUGCGACACCUGUGUUCAUUCUGAGACUGACAUGGUGACAAUCUCACCGAGAAGCACCUGGGUGUUCGCCUCUAAAUUAGACUUCUAGCCUGUGCUUGCUUAUCUAGUUCACGAUAUUCUUUAUUGCUUGUUUGUUUCUUUGUUUGAGAACCCAAACUAAAGUACCCAUCUCUUGGUUUUCUUACCUCUUUUAUUUUCAGUAAUUAACCUUUUAUGAAUGAAUUAAUUUUUUUUGAGACUUACUUACUAUGUAGACCAGGCUGAGCUCAAACUCAUGGAGAUCCACCUGCACUGAGUGCUGGGAUUAAAGGUGUGUACCACCACUCCCAGAGUAGUUAAAGCUGGAAACUUCGGAUAGAGUGCUUAACCUAACAUGCACAAAGGGUCUCCGUUCAAACCCCAGUACUGCAAGAAAAAAAGGAGGAAAGUAAGAAUUCUGUGAGUUCUGAGUCUUAACAAAGAAAAACGCUAUUAUAGCUGAGACCACAAUGAGGAUGCACAGACAGCAAUUGUCUCACACCAAAACAUUCCCUGGGGUGUAGUAGUCAAAAGACCCCUCACCCUAGCCCUACCUAUGGCAACCAGGAGACCUCUUGCACACUGCAUGGUGCCUCUGAGACGCCUCCAUGCUCUUGUGUGUGUCAAUAGUUCAGCAUUCCACACAGCACUUGGGAGGCAGAGACAUGCUGACCUCUGUGAGUUCAAGGCCAGCCUGGUCUACAGAGUGAGUUCCAGGAGAGCCAAGGCUGUCACACAGAGAAAUGCUGUCUCAAAAAACAAGACACCCCAUGCCAGAAUGUUCUGAGUGUUCAAUACAUGUUAAGCCUAUAUUCUCACCAGGGCUCUCUUUCCUUUGCCCAUCUCCGCUUUGGCAUCCUUCUGCGUGGAUUGCUCUUUUGCCUUUGCCGUCACACCAAACCUACUUACUCCCGAUUCCCAACAAGGGACGCCGCCCGCUGCCUCCCACCCCUCCCCGAGGACUUGGUGCUCUUUCUUGCCACUCCUGUUACAGCCUUCAGUGAGUUAGUAAGCUGUGAGCUACGCCAGGGCAGAGGAGGCCUUUAUCUCCUCGCAAGUGACACUUGGGUCUGAUGGAUGGAUGUGUGCACACCUGAAUGAAUGAAUGAAUGAAUGAAUGAAUGAAUGAAUCUUUCACUUCAUCUCCGCCCGGGAAUUCCAGUUGGACAUUUGCUCCGAGCACUGCCACAAUGCAGCCUCUUUACAUCGUACGUGGGUGCCUGCCUGCUGCUGGCUCUGGGAGUCUGCUUGCAGGCAGCCAAGCACAUGGAGCAUCUUUGUCGAGUUGGAUGCCGAGUGGAGAAACUUGAAUGCUCCCUUCUAUUUGCUUCCACCACAUGCCAUAGAAAUUAAAAAUACAUUGUGCCACAAGUGCUGUUUAGUGUCUCCCUUU
ensembl:lncRNA